rnacentral:lncRNA from 1 species
AUGAUACACAAGAUUGAUUCGGAUACACUUAUAUGCCACACCAUCACACAGAGUUUUGCCAUGGGCUCAAUUUCCCCGAGAGACUUUAUCGACUUAGUACACAUCAAGCACCAGGACGGGAAUAUGGACAUUAUCAGUAGUAAGUUGAAACAUUUUGCCCGUGUUUUAGAAUUACUAUGUAUCAUUAAAAUUUUUUGCCUUUAAUUAUUAAUGUUAACAGUUUAGAAGAAACUGUAUUUUCAAUUCUUUUUUGUUUGUUUGUUAGUUGUUUGUUUGUUUAUUCAGUGCAACCAAAAAGCUUGUGUCCUAUACACAGGCCAGGUAUUGUGCCUAACACAUGAGGUGCUGUUUAGAAAGUUCCCCCUCCACAUUUGCAGUAUGAACCGUGAACUCAAUAGAGAUAGAUGACUGUAAGCUAAAACGUCAGUGUAUACAUUUGUAAUCCUAUAAAACAAAACUAGCUUUUAUAUAUGACUUUAUACUUGGCUUGUUGAAAAUAGGCAUGUAUAUAUUAAUUCUUACAGUACUAAGUGUAAAAUAUGAAAAUACUGAAUGAAUAGUGCUGGAUCGGUCACUCCUUAAAUGUACUAUUACUAUAUCUUCUCUAGGGAGUUCAAGUCUUGAUCUAACCCUGCACCUCUCUGCAGUAAUACGACUCUGUGACAUGCAAACGUAUCGUUUGCCAACUUGUGUUAUUGACCCAAAACUUCCUCACCCCAUCAGUUCGGACUCCGGAAGCUUAGGAUCACUAAGAGUACUUUGGCAGGAUAGUGGCGAAGGUCCCAGUUUCCCUCUUGAAUUUGAUUCCACCUUAUAAUUUCUAUCAGAAUGUUUCCUCUUCUGUAAGCUACUCAGAGAUAGACAGUGAAACUGCUUUAUUACUUGCCAUGGGAUGCAAUAUCUUAA